AGAGUUUGAUCCUGGCUCAGGACGAACGCUGGCGGCGUGCCUAAUACAUGCAAGUCGAGCGGACGGAUGGGAGCUUGCUCCCUGAAGUCAGCGGCGGACGGGUGAGUAACACGUGGGCAACCUGCCUGUAAGACUGGGAUAACUCCGGAAAACCGGGGCUAAUACCGGAUAAUUCUUUCCCUCACAUGAGGGAAAGCUGAAAGAUGGCUUCGGCUAUCACUUACAGAUGGGCCCGCGGCGCAUUAGCUAGUUGGUGAGGUAACGGCUCACCAAGGCAACGAUGCGUAGCCGACCUGAGAGGGUGAUCGGCCACACUGGGACUGAGACACGGCCCAGACUCCUACGGGAGGCAGCAGUAGGGAAUCUUCCGCAAUGGACGAAAGUCUGACGGAGCAACGCCGCGUGAGUGAUGAAGGUUUUCGGAUCGUAAAACUCUGUUGUUAGGGAAGAACAAGUGCCGGAGUAACUGCCGGCACCUUGACGGUACCUAACCAGAAAGCCACGGCUAACUACGUGCCAGCAGCCGCGGUAAUACGUAGGUGGCAAGC
rnacentral:rRNA from 2 species